rnacentral:tRNA from 1 species
GGGCGAGUGGUGGAAUCGGUAUACACGCAGGACUUAAAAUUCUGUGAAUUCAUUUUCAUGAGGGUUCGAGUCCCUCCUCGCCCAC